UUAUCUUUAUCUUAUCUUGAUUUUGAAGAACUGUUGUAAAUAAAAUCUAGAUCUAGACUCUAGCUACAUGGCGCACAAGACAAGUGGAUCAUAUUUUUCAAUACAUUAGAUUCAAUAGUUGAUAAAAGUAGAUAUCUAAAGAUUGUCAAUAGGUUCUCUGAAUCCCAGUCAAGCUUCUAUAGAGGAAUCCUGAGCGUGAGAAGACUGCGAGCCCUCAAGUUGCAUCGAAGAUGCAGAUUUUAAAGUUUACGAAGACCACUCAGGUAACUUCAAAUGAAUCUUUUGCUGAUGGAGAUGAGCCAUUAGCACCUACCUAUGGAUAAAAGAUAUCUUUUGGAGAGAGAACACAGACAUAGAAACAAAAACAACCAAAUCCUGGCUGCCUGGUCAUGUUAUGUUCUUUGGAGGGCCAUUGCGAUGGUGCGAGUUCGAACCACCCCAACAAUAUCCUCUGUCGACCUGCUGGAAGUUUGAGCUUGCUGGAAUAAUAAUUUCUGAAAAAACAUCAGAACUCAGCUCAUAAAAGAGAUUUGUUUCACAUUCAAAAUCAACCAG